GCGAAUCUGGAAAUUUUUAUAAAUUAUCCUCCAUGUCGAAAAAUCAACUGAAAAUCGCAAUCUUUUUCUGGAUUGUUGUCGGGUAAACAUGCUGAGGUGACUUCACAACACCAAUCCUCGAAGAGAAAUUAUGACAAGUCAAAUCGGGAAUUGUGUGUGUGUGCGUGUGUGUGUGUUUCUCUUUAAUGUGUCUGAAAUUGCGUGACGGACUAAUUCAAUGACUGUUCAUAUAUUUUGCAGUUGAGUGAUGAUUGUGUGAUAACGUCACUGGUAUUGGAGUAGAACUGUCACUGACUAACAAUACGUAGUUUCCCCGUGAUUAUUAGUAGCUGGAACUCCUUAAUUUGAAUCUAAUAUAGCGGCUACUGUUUGAUUUUCGCGGUAUCGGCAAUGUUAGUAUACACCGAACGUAAAUCACAUUCAAAAGUACAUUUGCUUUUCCAGUGACCAGAUAAAAUACGCAAAUAUGAGCCCGGCUGCAAAGUCCUGGAUUACGCUUUAAAUGGAAAUGCAUUGGAACAUCAGAUUUGCAUGGCGUCGCAAUAAUCCUCCAUUCUUGAAUUAAAAGAACACGGCCCCUCCUUCCAAAAAGGACAUAUUACAUUGAAACAAGCAUUCGAUUGCAUAUCUAACUGAUAAGUGAAACUUCCAAUGCAAUCUACUUUUUAAAAGAAAGUUUGAGCCAUGGUCUGUGUGCUACAAACAUAUGUAAACGGCCGCAUUGUGGAUUACACUACAAAAUGGCAGCAACCAAAUGGGCAGCUCUUUUACAUACGGGUUAGACACGGCUAAAGGCCAAGGUCAAGUUGAAAGUUGCAGUCUAGCCAAUCUGAGUGCUGUCAUUCACGCGUUGACGACCCUGUCUGAAUUCUUACAAAGGCAAGCCGUGAGAAUUGACUUUUUCAUUGCCGUUUUGUUUGUUUUCUUUUGUUUUUCACUCACAGCUCUCCAAAUGAAAAAAAAAUUCUACUGACCAUACCGUCUUCAUUUCCAGGCUGUUUCUGCUUGGCUGGCAAAAGGGUGUGAAAUGGAUGCAGUCGUUUUCAGAUACAUUGCAAAUUAUGUGGCAUUGCAUCCGGUUUAAAUGUACUGUUUACAAAACCUCUUGUCUCGAGCUGCCAGGAAGGCCGUCAGUAUUAUUGGAAAAGGUAGGGGUAUUCUGUAGAAGGUCAUAUCACGCCAAAGUACUGACGAUGGUACUAUCGUGUAAACUGUAUUCUCCAAGAAUUGGUAUCAAACUAUCCACAGAUCAGGACAUCAUCAAUAAGGAGUAUCUAUCCAGAGAGGUAUUGUACGCUGCUAUUCUAGAUAUUGAAAUGAACUGUAUGAUUCUACUUUAUAGCUGAUAAUUCAAAUACAGUUUUUGUAAUGAUUGACUACUUUUCGUUAAGUAAAAUCAACCUAUGUACUUUAAUUGUAUCACAUAAUCCCUGUGUUACAUCUCUCGAUGUACAUCAGCUCUGUAUUUUCAGUCCAGUCAUGAUUUGUUCUGUCUGCCUACAAAUGUCGAUAAAUAUCACAAAGGUGCGCUUUAU
rnacentral:lncRNA from 1 species